rnacentral:rRNA from 1 species
AACGAACGCUGGCGGCAGGCUUAACACAUGCAAGUCGAACGCCCCGCAAGGGGAGUGGCGCACGGGUGAGUAACGCGUGGAUAUCUGCCUUUUGGUUCGGAAUAACCCCGGGAAACUGGGGCUAAUACCGGAUGGUUCCUACGGGAUAAAGAUUUAUCGCCAAAAGAUGAGUCCGCGUACGAUUAGCUAGUUGGUGAGGUAAUGGCUCACCAAGGCGACGAUCGUUAGCUGGUCUGAGAGGACGAUCAGC